rnacentral:tRNA from 1 species
UGCCGACCUGGAGGAGGUUGUGGAUCUCGGCGGCGUGGUACCGCCGGUGCCCCGACGGCAACGUGAUCGGGUUCAGCGUCCCGGUCCGCGCCCA